rnacentral:rRNA from 1 species
AAUCCUGGCUCAGGAUGAACGCUAGCUACAGGCUUAACACAUGCAAGUUGAGGGGCAGCAUGGUCUUAGCUUGCUAAGGCCGAUGGCGACCGGCGCACGGGUGAGUAACACGUAUCCAACCUGCCGUCUACUCUUGGACAGCCUUCUGAAAGGAAGAUUAAUACAAGAUGGCAUCAUGAGUCCGCAUGUUCACAUGAUUAAAGGUAUUCCGGUAGACGAUGGGGAUGCG